GAUGAACGCUGGCGGCGUGCCUAAUACAUGCAAGUCGAGCGAACAGAUGAGAAGCUUGCUUCUCUGAUGUUAGCGGCGGACGGGUGAGUAACACGUGAGUAACCUACCUAUAAGACUGGGAUAACUCCGGGAAACCGGGGCUAAUACCGGAUAAUAUUUUGAACCGCAUGGCUCAAUAGUGAAAGACGGUUUCGGCUGUCACUUAUAGAUGGACCCGCGCCGUAUUAGCUAGUUGGUAAGGUAACGGCUUACCAAGGCGACGAUACGUAGCCGACCUGAGAGGGUGAUCGGCCACACUGGAACUGAGACACGGUCCAGACUCCUACGGGAGGCAGCAGUAGGGAAUCUUCCGCAAUGGGCGAAAGCCUGACGGAGCAACGCCGCGUGAGUGAUGAAGGUCUUCGGAUCGUAAAACUCUGUUGUUAGGGAAGAACAAAUUUGUUAGUAACUGAACAAGUCUUGACGGUACCUAACCAGAAAGCCACGGCUAACUACGUGCCAGCCGCCGCAGUAA
rnacentral:rRNA from 1 species